rnacentral:rRNA from 1 species
UACAGAGGGUGCGAGCGUUGUUCGGAAUUACUGGGCGUAAAGCGUGCGCAGGCGGUUCGCCAAGUCAGGUGUGAAAUCCCCGGGCUUAACCUGGGAAUUGCGCUUGAAACUAGCGGGCUUGAGUGUGGCAGAGGGGGUGGAAUUCCACGUGUAGCAGUGAAAUGCGUAGAGAGUGUGGAGGAACACCGAUGGCGAAGGCAGCCCCCUGGGUCAACACUGACGCUCAGACACGACAGCAUGGGGAGCGAACGGG